rnacentral:miRNA from 2 species
UUUGCCGAACCCGUUUUGAAUG